rnacentral:rRNA from 1 species
GGCGAACGCUGGCGGCGUGCUUAACACAUGCAAGUCGAACGGUAAGGCUCCAGCUUGCUGGGGUACACGAGUGGCGAACGGGUGAGUAACACGUGGGUGACCUGCCCUGCACUUCGGGAUAAGCCUGGGAAACUGGGUCUAAUACCGGAUAGGACUGCACCGUGAGGGUGUGGUGGAAAGUUUUUUCGGUGUGGGAUGGGCCCGCGGCCUAUCAGCUUGUUGGUGGGGUAAUGGCCUACCAAGGCGGCGACGGGUAGCCGGCCUGAGAGGGUGGACGGCCACAUUGGGACUGAGACACGGCCCAGACUCCUACGGGAGGCAGCAGUGGGGAAUAUUGCACAAUGGGCGGAAGCCUGAUGCAGCGACGCCGCGUGGGGGAUGACGGCCUUCGGGUUGUAAACUCCUUUCACCAUCGACGAAGGGUUUCUGACGGUAGAUGGAGAAGAAGCACCGGCUAACUACGUG